UGGUGACGAUGCUGAUGGUGAUGAUGGUGAUCAUGAUUGUGAUGCUGACGAUGAUGUUCAUGAUGAUGAUCAUCAUCAGCAUCAUCAUCAUCA
rnacentral:pre_miRNA from 1 species